UACGUAGGGCGCAAGCGUUGUCCGGAAUUAUUGGGCGUAAAGAGCUCGUAGGCGGCCUGUUGCGUCCGCUGUGAAAUCCCGGGGCUCAACCCCGGGCGUGCAGUGGAUACGGGCUGGCUGGAGGCAGGCAGGGGAGAACGGAAUUCCUGGUGUAGCGGUGAAAUGCGCAGAUAUCAGGAGGAACACCGGUGGCGAAGGCGGGUCUCUGGGCAGUAACUGACGCUGAGGAGCGAAAGCGUGGGGAGCGAACAGG
rnacentral:rRNA from 1 species